rnacentral:rRNA from 1 species
AGAGGUGGCGAGCGUUGUUCGGAUUUACUGGGCGUAAAGGGUGCGUAGGUGGUUUCGUGUGUCGGAUGUGAAAGCCCAUGGCUCAACUGUGGAAUUGCAUUCGAAACUGCGGAACUUGAGUGCAGGAUGGGAGAGCGGAAUUCUUGGUGUAGCGGUGAAAUGCGUUGAUAUCAAGAAGAACACCGGUGGCGAAGGCGGCUCUCUGGAAUGCUACUGACACUGAGGCACGAAAGCUGGGGGAGCGAACAGGAUUAGAUACCCUGGUAGUCCCAGCCCGUAAACGGUGCGCACUUGGUGUGGGGAGAUUUGACCCUCUCCGUGCCGGAGCUAACGCGUUAAGUGCGCCGCCUGGGUAGUACGGCCGCAAGGCUA